rnacentral:tRNA from 1 species
UGCCUGGUGGUGUAAUGGUAACACACAAGAAUUUGGAUCUUGUUUUCAUGGUUCGAAUCCAUGCCGGGCAGCCA